AACCGCACGGGAUAAUUUCUAUUAUCCCGUGCCGUUGUCUUAAGUAGACCGCACGGGAUAAUCGGUUAUCCCGUGCGGCC
rnacentral:pre_miRNA from 18 species